UGUAUACAACUGUCGUUCUUGUCUUGCCACC
rnacentral:piRNA from 1 species